GCACUCUAGAGCCCACGAGCCACAACUACUGAAGCCCCCGUGCCUAGGGCCCGUGCUCUGCAACAAGAGAAGCCACUGCAAUGAGAAGCCUGUGCACCGCAACAAAGAGUAGCCCCUGCUCGCCGCAACUAGAGAAAGCCCGCGCGCAGCAACAAAGACCCAAUGCAGCCAAAAAUAAUAAAAACAAAUAAAAUAAAGGAAACUUAGAUUUUAAAAUAAUAAUAAAAUAAAAAUGGACAAGGAAAGCAGAACGAGUGGCUCAGAGAGAAGUAAGGAUGGGAGAAGGGGCAGGAGAGAUUUGAAGCGGGAUACUCACCCACUAUUGCUGGCGUCGAAGAUGGAGGAACGGAACCACGACCCAAACAACGCAGGCAGCUUCCAGAAGCUGGGAAGGACCCUCAGCUGACAGCCAUCAAGGAAAUGGGGGCCUGAAAGGAACUAAAUUCUACCAACAGCCUGAGAUAGUGAGGAAAUGGAUUCUCGCCUAAGAGCUCCCAGGACGGACACAGCCGACCCCGUGAUUUUAGUCCAGUUAGAUCUGAACCCGGCUUCCGACAUACAGAACCAUAAGGUAUCUAUCCUCCAGAAAUAAAUGUAUCUAAAUUCUAAGGAUAUACAUACAGAGAUGUUUUCUGCUUUGGAAGACCUGAAAAUAACCAUCCGUAACACUAUGAAAAACAUCGUUCUGUGUGUCAUCAUCCCAGAUCACAAAGUCGUUUGGGAAGGAUUAUGGUUUUUCCAUUGUUCUUUUGCUUCAGAAGCUAAGGAUCCUUCCCUCCCGCCAUCUGAUUGACACAGAGGGAGACCUGGAGUCCUCGGCUACACACCUGGACCCUCACUCCAGCUGUGCUCCAGGACUCAAAUCCAGGCCCUUUUACACCAGACCUACUCAACAAUCAAACCACGUGGUUAGUGUUCAUGACCCUUCCUGCCUUGAGUCCCAAGACAUCAGAGGACAACUCCUAACAGGUCCACUGAUGACCAAUGACUUGCAAAGCUCUGCCUCUGUCUUUCAGUCUCCAAAGAGAGGCUCUUCAGGUCUGUAUUUCCCAAAUCCACCUUCAUAGAUCCCUUUUCAAAUGAAAAGUCUUCACCAUCAUUUGGGGUUGAAACCUGUUGAGUUUUUGUACAAGGACUGAAAAAGAUAAAGAACGACAGCAAAAAAAAAAAAGAAUUCUUGUUCUGAAAACAGUGGAACUUUGCCUAUAUUCAUUCUUCUUUCUUCCCCUCUGAACAUUUUUUGGGGAGCUCUAUAAAUUUAUAAACAAUAGAAGGAAGGAUGUGGAGUAUAGAGUCAGAAAACCCUGACUGUAAUCCCAGCUCUUCCAGUUAACAGCUGUGUGACCUCUGACAAAUCACUUCACCUCUCUGAGCCUUUAUUUCCUCAUCAGUAAAAUGGAGCUGAUAAUGGAUGCAAAGCCUAAACCCAUCCCGGAGCACAUGCACAAUAUAUUGUUUUUAACAUUAUUUCAGAGAAGUUUGCUGAUAUACCUUCACGGCCGCAGAACAAGCUGGUGGCUGAGCAAGAAGACA